UCUGUCUCCCUGCGUGUUCGGCUUACCUGUGAUAUGUUCCCGAAUCACUUUGGAUUUUCUGAAUGGAACUACCUGUAGUUUGUGAAUGAGAUAAAAAUGACAAGUGAAACUUACAUCUAUUGUAUUUCUCUUGGGAAUCUUUCGUAUUACUGUUGUAUAAAGGGAUAGAGUUAAAUCAUAUCUUGUCACGGGAAUCAUCAAGGUAAGGGCGUCGCCAGGUUCUCAUUGUUUAUCCAAUUGGACCAUUUAGCAACUAAAUAUUUUAAGAGAGUCCACACUGCACUGACCUGGAAAUGAGUCGUCAAGUCCUCUGUCCUGUAUGGCUGCUGGCCACUUGUGUGUUGUCGGUCCAGUGCUCGCUGCUUCCAUACGGUGAUACCGAGGGUCACAUUGCCACCCCCGGGGUGGACGAUGGUUCUGGCCCCUCCCUCAGUCUACAGCCGCCUUUCCGAUUUUAUGGAACAAACUACAACACUUCUUUUGUGAACAAUGAUGGUUCUGUGACAUUCAUUAAGGCUGGAACAUUUCAAGACACAACCUCUGAUCCCGGAAAUACUCCAGCAGUGUGUGGCCUGUGCACUGACAUUGAUGUAACCGUAAGUGGAUCCGUCUGGUACGUCCUCAGUACGUCUUCAGCAUUACGUCAAACUGUCGCCGAAGACGUCAGGCGAUACCAGGAGUUCCCGGCAGACUAUACGCCGUCCUGGGUACUGUUGGCGACGUGGGCCGAUGUUGCUACAUAUAAGUCAGAA